rnacentral:ncRNA from 1 species
AAAUAAAUUUUUUAUGGUUUAUAAAUUUUAUUUUAAGUUUAUUUUACAUAUAAAUUUUAGUAUUAAUUUUAUAUUAUUUUAAUAAUAAUUUAUAUUUAUUUAGUAGUAAUUAAUAUUAAAUUAUUUAAGUAAUUAAGAUUUAGUAAUAUUUAAAUUAAUAACAAAUUUUGUGCCAGCAGUUGCGGUUAUACAAAAAUUAAAUUAAAUUUUAUUGAUAAUUAAUAAAUAAUUUUGUUUAUUAUAAUAAAAAUUUUAAAUUAUUAGGUGAAAUUUUAAUUUAAUAAAAUUUUAUAAUUAUUUUAUGAUUUAAUAAAUUUUAUAAAAAACUAGGAUUAGAUACCCUAUUAUUAAAAUUUAAAAUUAAUAUAUCAAAAUAGUAAAUAAUUAUUUAUUGAAACUUAAAUAAUUUGGCGGUAUUUUAGUUCAUUUAGAGGAAUCUGUUUAAUAAUUGAUAGUCCACGAAUAAAUUUACUUAAUUUAUUAUUUUGUAUAUCGUUGUUAAAAAAAUAUUUUUUAAUAAAAUUAAUAUUUAAAAAUUAUUAUUUUAAUUUAAAUCAGAUCAAGAUGCAGAUUAUAAUUAAGAAUAUAAUGGAUUACAAUAAAUUUAUUUAAAUGAAUAUUAAUUUGUAAAAAUUAAUUGAAAGUGGAUUUAAAUGUAAUUUUAUUUAAUUUAAUAAAAUGAUUAAAAAUUAAAAUAUGUACAUAUUGCCCGUCGCUUUCAUAUAUAAUAUAUAAAAAUUGAAAUAAGUCGUAACAAAGUAGAGGUACUGGAAAGUGUUUCUAGAAAGAA